GCUUCCUAGGGAGGGAGGCUGGGGCGGCAAGGCGGGCGCGGGUGGUCCUUGCCCCGCGCCAGCUCGCCAGGCCACGUCGCUGGCGUUUUUCCAGCGCUGGGUCACCUGCGGGCCGGCGGGUUCCCGCGGCGAACAGCUGGGUGGUAUGGAUACGCCGCUCGAGCCUCCGCAGCGUCAGGUCGCCAGGGUCCGCCCUGCCACUCGCCCCACCUUGAGUACCUCUGAAGAAAAGAUGAUGGCCCGGUGCGGUGGCUCACGCCUGUAAUCCCAGCACUUUGGGAGGCCGAGUCAGGCGGAUCACCUGAGAGUGUAAAGAAAGUCUGAAGAAUACUCCAGGAAAAUUGAGGAAACUAAAGCUAUUUCUACUACUGGUCUCAUAAUUGCAAAGCCAGUGCCUACCAUGAUAAGUGCUCUCUUACUUGGUAUGAAGGAAAUGAUUUUCUUCCCUUGCUAUUUUUUUUAGUAAGUAUAUUAUUUUAUUGCUACAUUAGAAAUGAAAAUACACUCUGAGAAGCUGCAAAGGCAUGCAACUUCAUAAAGAUUAUGAAGCAAUGGAGACACUCAUAGAAGGUUAAAAUUGGCUUUUCCUGUAGGAGGUGCAAAGACUAUACACACACAGGUCAUCAAUGGUUAGAUUAUUGGCAGCAUCUGCCAUGUGGAAUUUAUGUGCCAAUGGGAAGAUUUUUGGUGUUUUGCUUUGUUUUGUUUUGUUUUGAGACGGAGUCUUAUUCUGUCACCCAGGCUAGAAUACAGUGGCAUGAUCUUGGCUCACUACAACCUCCGCCUCCCGGGUUCAAGUGAUUCACCCGCCUGAGACUUCCAUGUAGCUGGGAUUGCAGGCAUACACCACCAUGCCUAAUUCAUUUUUUUCUUUGUUUGUUUGAGAUGGAGUCUCACUCUGUCACCCAGGCUGGAGUGCAGUGUCAUGAUCUCAGCUCACUGCAACCUCCGCCUCCCGGGUUCAAGCGAUUCUCCUGCCUCAGUCUCCCGAGUAGCUGUGACUACAGACAUGUGCCACCACACCUGGCUAAUUUUUGUAUUUUUAAUAGAGACAGGGCUUAGCCAUGUUGGCCAGGGUGGUCUCGAACUCCUGACCUCAGGUGAUCCACCCACCUCAGCCUACCAAAGAUUACAGACGUGAGCCAUCAUGCCCAGCCCCCAUUAUAUGAUGUUUGAACACCGUAUUUCUCCUGCUGGAUAGUUUCCUUGGAAGAAAGCCUAUUUUUUUCUCCAGUGUU
rnacentral:lncRNA from 1 species